CCUACAAUAUUGAAACUAGGGAGGACUAAUUUGGGGUGUGUAAGUGAAACAGAUUUCUGCAGAGAGCACAACUUCACUGCCACAAUUAUUUCUACAAUAUUUGGUGUACCUCAGAAUUUUCAAGUUAUUUCAAAGGGAUUUCACCAGGGAAUACUAUGCGGACAAUCAGGGGUGUCAAACUCAAGGCCCGCAGGCUAGAUCCGGCCCCUCAAUGAAAUCGAGUCUGACACCCCUGCACUAGAUACUGAAUUCAGCAUGGAUGAGUUUACCUUUUAACCACUGUGUUAAAGUAUGUUAUGUCAACUUAACAAGAGGAUGCUAUGACAUCCUGACUGUAUUUGCUCUGCAAGACAUUCCUGGUGAACCAUUUGUCCCUCCCCCCUCAUCCCGCCAAUUUUGUUGCUUAUUUUCCUCACCAUCUGCAGACUGAAUGGGUGUUGUGGCAGAGGGCAUGGCAGGCAUCACUUGGCAAGAUAGCUUUAAAAGCCUUCCUCCUGCAUUGCUGUCAGAUGAUCAAGCCCUGAAGGGCCAGAACAAAUGCUUCUAGGAGUUUUGUUGCAUGACAGUAGUAUAGCUUGUGAUCUGAGUCUUUUCCCCCCAGUCAAGUCUGCUGAACUGAGCUGUAAAGCAGAAGGCACAGUAGGCAGACGAUUCCGGAAAAACAUCUUGCCUGAACUGCGGAAGAAUCUUUCAAAAUUCAGAUUGGAUCCUUACUAUAUUACAGAAGUGUAAUCAGUUAUGUUGCCAUGGAAGUAAUACACAUCUUAAGCUGGCAGGGGAUUGGACCAGAGCUCAGAGCAAAACGUUUAAUGAUGUGCCCUGAAAAAGAUGGUUGUCACUUCUUUGCAAAGUGCAAACAAGGCCAGGAAGCAAGACGUUCCAUACUGGGAGGGAUGCCACUGAGAAAUUGCUCUUAGUCCAGAGUUCAGCCACCUUUUUCUGCCUAUGGAUUAGGGCCCACUCUCUGCUGCUGUCACCACCGUUUCCAGAGGACUUGGUGUUAAGCCCCUACUAAACUGGCAGGUAAAGCUGUUGCCAAAAUGGCCACCUAAGGAGAUGAUGAGUGCACUCUCCAUUUCUCUUUAAGGCCAGAUGAAUAUAUGCCUUUCUGGGAUUAGGGGGAUAUGAAUUCAGGUGACAGGUCACAUCUAGCCCACCAGCUGUAGCUGCCAACCUGCUUUAGGCAUUCACUCUUCUCAUGAUCAACACACUGCGUGAACUGAUUCUGCAAAUGCUUUAAAGGUGAAAACCAGCACUCUUUUUUCGCAGUCUUUCCAAGAAAUCCCACUGGGUGAGAAAAACUUUCUGACCAGCGCUAUCCAUAUGCCUUUUGACAUUUAUAUUCGUAUCAUAGCUAUGUAAGAUUGCCCUAUACAGAAAAGAAAUUCCAUGCUGUGCAGGUCAAUGUGAACGUCAAAAGUUGUACACCUGUCCCCAAAAUAAAUGAGUUACAUUUGAGAAAGUCUUUUUUUUUAAAAAGAAAAGAAAAAGAACAGAUAGAUACUCUUUAUUAGCUAAUAUGCUUCCUAGAAGCAGAGUGAUUGACUUAUCGGAUGGUCCUUUACAAUCAGAAUUCAAGGACAGUUUAUUCAGUGGUUCAACACCAGCAUCUACUAUACUCCCAAUCCUUCUAGUAGAAAUCCAUCUCUUUCUUUAGAUUUUCCUCUGUUAUCUCCCCUUUGCAGGAGAAGAUAUUUAAUAUGAAAGAGUUCUUUAGCUUACUGGACAAUUCUGGAAGUUUGCACUUUGAUAAGCUGAAAGUGGAAAUACAGCAUUUCAGCAGUAAUGAAAAUUCACCUAUCAAAGCACAAUUGAGGUGGUUGUGUACUUUCUGAUAGGCAGAUCAAUUAAAUCAGGAUUAGUUGCUGAUCUCUUGUCCCAUAUUAAAAGUUAUGGUCGGUGCUGUGCUGGAACAAUGCAAGACAUCUGUGCACAGACCCUCUGCAGCCUAAUCCAAUAGCUAUAUUAAAGCCAAUUUUUGUAUUUGAAAUGCACGUGUCCCCAUUUAUUCCAAAAUAAGCAAAAUAAAAGCCUGGGUUAUAAUAAUUAGAUUUGUAUUUCUUAAGUAUGUUUACAAUUUUGAUCAAAAUCUCUUCAUUGACUGAAAGCUUUAACUAGAGAACCAAUACUUGUAUGUAUUUGGUUUGAUAACUACUGAUGAAAGUCCCUUUGUUCAAAUCAUAUUUGGGCCAUUUAUUCCGAGUGUUAUAUGUUGCAAUGAUAUUUUCAGCUAUACUUCUUGAUAAGAUUGACCAGAACAAAAUGUGUUGUGUAAGAAGUCGGGGCGUCCCCAACCUUGAAGCUCCAGUUCCUGAUUGUUUAUUGGAAAAUACAAAUACAGACAUGCAUAUUUCACACAAAAAGCAAAGGUGAUUCUAAACUGAAUUUAAAUAAUGAUUUUCUGUGACGAGUAAUUUAAUGAACUUCACAAAGGAAAAAGAUUUGAACCUGAAUUUCCAGAGAUCCAAGCCCAAUGUUUUAACCAAUUAAACUACAUUACCUAUAACAUCAAUUGUAUUCUUGAUAACAAUUUGGAAUAGUAAUCUUGUAUACAACUGUAGAGAGA